AACGCACAUUGCGCCUCUCGGUAUUCCGGGAGGCACGCCUGUUCGAGCGCCAUUACGAACCCCAAGCUUGGCUUGAUGUUGGGCGAUGUCUUUUCUCUCUGAAGGGAGACACGCCUGGAACGCGUUGACGCCGCCGGCGGACCACGAGCGUAGCAGUGACGAAAGUCGAUCGCAUCGAUGGAAACCGACGGAGGGCAGUCUUGACGUUUGUCGUCUACGGACGACGGACACACACACACGAGUUUGGCCUCGGAUCAGGCGGGGAUACCCGCUGAACUUAA
rnacentral:misc_RNA from 1 species